ensembl:lncRNA
CUGACCUGUGGUUGUGCCUGCUUUCAUCUCAUCCAUCCUUUCAUGUUUUCGGAUUACGGUGCUGUGGGAGGCCAACCUAAGGUGUUUAAUGAAUACUAUUAUUUUAUAAGCUUCUCUUAAAUAGUUAGACAAAUAUUCUGUAAUCCUUUGGACUCAUCCUAGGUCAACCACAUAGUUAAUGGACAAUGAUAACAAACAAGUUGAAAUUGAAGCUUUGGGGAAAAUGCCCCUUCCUUCAUCACACGCACGUGUGCGCACAUGCACAGUCUGAAGCACGACAGACACGGUAUAGAAGAAAUACAACACUCUGUCAUGGAUAUCUUACACAACUCCAGUCCUGCAGAUGUAGUUUGGAAUUCUGAAGCAUUAUUCAAGUGAGUCCCUACAUAGGUUGUCCUCCAAAAGAACCUGCGUGUAGAUCCUGACAGGAGCAACAGAGAAACCUGUGGGGUCAUCGUUCAAGAUGCUAGUCUGUGUUGUCUGGAAGUCAAUGUACAGGGGUGACUAGUGAAUGAACAAGGAAAUCUGCCAAAAAUAGCUGUGGUGACGUGGAUGGAACUGAUUUCUUCAGCCUCAUGGGUUCAACCAGACUGCAUACAUUAGGGAAAUACUAUGUUUUGGCAUACUGGGAGAGUUUCCAUGCUACUGGCUUCUGCUUCUGACAAUAGAGAUUUGUACAUCGAUGCUGUGCUCGCCAGCUGGUCCGUGGGAUUUGCGUUAUGCUAUUUGUUUGGAUGGAUGCGUUCCUGUAAAGAGAUGAUGUCGCGUUUUUCAGCCGGCACAGGAGAUCAGAACCAUCAUAACCCCUUCUCCGCCAGCCUUGAAGUCGGUACAAAUCUAUCUGUACAUUUGGGGGAAAAUAAUUUAAAUGCUGCGAGUUACGGGGUAAUUAAUCUUUGAACUAUUUUCCAACUUCAAAUGUAUUUACUAAGCAAUCUGCAUGAACCUGUGAUUACUGCGUAUUUGUGAGGUAUUUUCCAUGUAAUCACAAAGCAGUUACACGGUCAUAGGAAUCUUGUAAAUUAUAACGAUAGCGGGGGAAGCGGCGGGAGGGGGGAGCUCUGCUGCUCGCACUAAAAAGCUUUUCCAGAAAUCUUUGGAAUUCUCUUCAGUGAAAUCGCCUGAGACGGCAGAGAAAGCACGUCCUUUGGAGAUUACUAGAAUUUCUGCCAACAAAAGGGGAUCCGAUAUCCAUGUACGGUUCAGCUGGAUGGAGGGGGAGAAGGGAGCGGAGAUAGCGGCAAUUUAUUAUUAUUAUUAUUAUUUAAUCCAUUGUUUGAAUGGUGAAUCACUAAUUUAAAAGUUGCUGCGAUUUUUUUUUUCACUGCAGUUUGCAGGCUGCUGAAAGCUCAACAGCCAUUCAGGCUUCAAAGACAAAAGGGAGAUUUCCCUCUUUAAUCUUCGCCGAUGUUCCCUCACUCAACCCAUCUUGGCUGGAAGCUCUCUGGAGCAGCGCACACAGCGCUCGCCAAUGCGCGGAGCCGUGCGCUCCUGGUGCUAAUAAAGCCAUCGCUCCGGCACGGCAGGUCGGGUGAUUACUGCCUCUGGUAAAUGCUUGUGAGACAAUAAGCAGACAUAGGGAGAAAUGAACUGAUCGAGGUGAGCAAGAGGAUGGGGUGGAUGAGAAACGCGGGGUGGGAGAGCCUCGGCAAUACGUUCACCCAGGGGAACCUCACCCUGCUGGUGGAUUCCCGACCCACGCUCUUAUCUCUCUGCAGAGCCCGCAGUGAAAAGCCAAUGCUGUUCAGGAAGCUUUUUCCUUACAGAUGAGAUAUAAAACCAAUGCCUGCCUAACCACUUAUGUACAUUAAUGAUCCCCCAGUGCUCUCCAAAAGAGGAAAAAUAUUAACCCAGGCAUCAUAAUAAUAUGCUGCUUGCUUAUAAGCCCUGUACAAUUUAAAUUCAAUCUGGUGUGAUGUUAUUUCUGACUUCCUGACCCAAAUUGGUGUGCGUGCAGCUCUGAGCUGUUAAGCAGAUGAUUGUUCCAUCCCAGCAGCAGAUCCAUCUCUCCGAUGCCUUGGAAGGAUUUCUCGGCCUGCGUUGCAGAGAGCCUCUGUUGAAAAAUGUGCCGCAUGUCAAACCGUUGGCUGAGCACAGCACAUCAUCCAUGGGGCCAUUUUUACUGUACACACACAUCCUUCGUUUCCUACGAACACACCACUGCCAGAGACUGCAGAUGGAGAAAGGCUCUCAAAUCCCUCUGUUGGUAAAAAGGCGAAAAUGCUCCAGACGGAUUUUCCUCUCCUUUUCCACCUACCCACAGCUCCUUCAGACAGCGUCCUCCCUAUGCAGCAAAUGCAGUCCUGUGAAGGUCAGGGUUGGUGAUAGGCCCGUGUUUUGCUGCUGUGUGCUCAGGUGCAGAAGGUAUGGGAACCCUCCUGGUCCCACCCUGUCUGGGUUUCCCUGGGAGAGCCCUGGUGCCAGGACCUGCACCCCGGAGCUGCUCACACCCUACCUGCUCCGCAAAUGAGCAGAGCCAAAGCAGAUGGCUUUGUGGAGCAUAAAACAAAACAGAGAGAUCUGUGGUGGCUGCAGAAAUACUGCCCUGGCUCUCCCCUGCGUGAUCAGGGGAUGGCAGGGCUCUCCUGCUCUGGGCAGCUGGGUGAGCCCCUAGAAGCUGGAGCUGCUGGAAGAGCUGGCUGCUGACCGACCUCCUGCAUGCCCAAUCCCAGCUCUGCGCUUGCAUUUGUGUUGCAGCAGUGUUUUCCUGGGAGCCAAACAAAACAGUUGUUCAUGAGCCACUCAGAGUAUGUGCUGGGGCAUGAAGGAGGUGUCAGUUUGUCCUAAUUAGUAAUUGCAACAGACUCACUUUGGUGUAGUGUCCUGCUAAAAGGAAUGGUAUGAAGGAUCUUGUCAUCAUUCCUCUGGAAAGUAAAGUAGUCCUCCCCAGUCCGUGGUCCCAAGCAGAGUUUGCUUGCUGAUACAUGAUCAUGGGCAAUGAAAUGAGCUCCAAUCUCCAUUUACGAGCUUUUACAAUCAAUGGUAUGGUUAAAGAUUGCAUGAUAACCAUGCUGGGAAACUUCUGUUUCUUACUCCCCUGUUUUCAGUUGCAGAUAUUUUAUAAUUCAAUGCUGGACUUGUACAUAAUACUUCAGUACCAUUCAUGCAGGUGGCUCCAAUAAAUUUAGAAACUUUUUUUGUGGUAUUUGCAGCUGACUAAUUUUUCCGUGUUGUUUUUCCUUCUCCUUUAUUAUAAAAGUGUAACUCAGUAUCAUUCAUGACAACUAGAAAUGAAGCCAGGCAAAGAUCAGACUUUGGACCUCUCAGACACAAUGAUGUUAAAAUCUCAGAUUUUGAAUUAAACCAGAGUAUAAUUUAGAUUUUGUAUCCUCUC